GGAGGGGGGGAGGUGUCCCUCAGCCUGGUUUGUGAGAGGGCACAGGCCAGGCCGAGGGACCCCACCGGUGCACG
rnacentral:pre_miRNA from 1 species